rnacentral:rRNA from 1 species
GACGAACGCUGGCGGCGUGCUUAACACAUGCAAGUCGAACGAAGAGCGACGGAAGCUUGCUUCUAUCAAUCUUAGUGGCGAACGGGUGAGUAACGCGUAAUCAACCUGCCCUUCAGAGGGGGACAACAGUUGGAAACGACUGCUAAUACCGCAUACGAUCUAACCUCGGCAUCGAGGAUAGAUGAAAGGUGGCCUCUACAUGUAAGCUAUCACUUAAGGAGGGGAUUGCGUCUGUUUAGCUAGUUGGAGGGGUAACGGCCCACCAAGGCGAUGAUCAGUAGCCGGUCUGAGAGGAUGGACGGCCAGAUUGGGACUGAGACACGGCACAGACGCCUACGGAAGGGAGCAGUGGGGAAUCGGCCGGAAUGGGCGAAAGACUGACGGAGAAACGCCGAGGGAGGGAUGACGGCCUUCGGGUUGUAAAGCUCUGUUAAUCGGGACGAAAGGCCUUCUUGCGAAUAGUGAGAAGGAUUGACGGUACCGGAAGAGAAAGCCACGGCUAACUACGUG